rnacentral:rRNA from 1 species
CCUACGGGAGGCAGCAGUGGGGAAUUUUGGACAAUGGGCGCAAGCCUGAUCCAGCCAUGCCGCGUGAGUGAAGAAGGCCUUCGGGUUGUAAAGCUCUUUCGGCAGGAACGAAAUGGUUAGUGCUAAUACCACUGACUGAUGACGGUACCUGAAGAAGAAGCACCGGCUAACUACGUGCCAGCAGCCGCGGUAAUACGUAGGGUGCAGGCGUUAAUCGGAAUUACUGGGCGUAAAGCGUGCGCAGGCGGUUUCUUAAGUCAGAUGUGAAAGCCCCGGGGCUUAACCUGGGAACUGCGUUUGAAACUGGGAGACUCGAGUGUGGCAGAGGGGGGUUGGAAUUCCACGUGUAGCAGUGAAAUGCGUAGAUAUGUGGAGGAACACCGAUGGCGAAGGCAACCCCCGUGGGUUAACACUGACGCUCAUGCACGAAAGCGUGGGGAGCAAACAGGAUUAGAUACCCUGGUAGUCCACGCCCUAAACUAUGUCAACUGGUUNUCGGGGGAUUAAUUCCCUUGGUAACCGAAGCUAACGCGUGAAGUUGACCGCCGNGGAGGUACGGUCGCGAGAUAAACUACGAAGAGUAGUGNGNGNGAGAGCGACGACGACGACGAGGAGGAGG